rnacentral:rRNA from 1 species
UACGUAGGGUGCGAGCGUUGUCCGGAAUUACUGGGCGUAAAGAGUUCGUAGGCGGUUUGUCGCGUCGUUCGUGAAAACUUGGGGCUUAACUCCAAGCGUGCGGGCGAUACGGGCAGACUUGAGUACUACAGGGGAGACUGGAAUUCCGGGUGUAGUGGUGAAAUGCGUAGAGAUCCGGAGGAACACCAGUGGCGAAGGCGACACGCUGGGCCGUACCUGACACUGAUGCGCGACAGCAUGGGGAGCAAACGAGG